rnacentral:rRNA from 1 species
AUUGAACGCUGGCGGUAGGCCUAACACAUGCAAGUCGAACGCGAAAGUCCUUCGGGAUGAGUAGAGUGGCGGACGGGUGAGUAACGCGUAGGAAUCUAUCCUGUAGUGGGGGAUAACGUUUCGAAAGGAACGCUAAUACCGCAUACGCCCAACGGGGAAAGCGGGGGAGUCUUCGGACCUCGUGCUAUAGGAGGAGCCUGCGUCGGAUUAGCUAGUUGGUGAGGUAAAGGCUCACCAAGGCGACGAUCCGUAGCUGGUCUGAGAGGAUGAUCCGCCACACUGGGACUGAGACACGGCCCAGACUCCUACGGGAGGCAGCAGUGGGGAAUUUUGGACAAUGGGCGCAAGCCUGAUCCAGCCAUGCCGCGUGAGUGGAGAAGGCCUUC